UUCUAAUACUUGAGCAAGUAGUGCUUUUUUGACAGGUUAUUACAUUUGGUCAAAGGAGGUCAUUUUCCUCACAGCAGGAUCCAGCGUUAACUUCCACAAAGAUUUGAACAGAUGUGUGAUGAAAUAGAAAAUGUCGGAAUCCAUUGUGAAAUUAGUCUGGUCUGUGUCUAAAAACAGAAUUAUAAUCUUUUAGAGUAUAAAAAUGGCUCUCUUGGUCAAGAAACAGCAUUAUUGGACUUGAACCUUAGUGAAAGAAGAGAGAAUCUCCUUUGUGAGAGCAUCCUCUUGUGUCACUGUGAGCUGAGGACUGUGAUAUCUCUGAAGGCCAAACAACACGUUCUUCUUCAGGAAGUAUUGAGCCCCUGCUGAUGCUCCUGGCUCCCAGAGGAUUGCAGACAGGAAAGUAGAGGUGAGAGAAAUGGGAAUGAGACCUGGACAUGACCCAGUGUCCUCUGUUGGCUACUGAACAAUUAAUUGGAAUAUUUUAACAUGAGCCUGGCUUCCGAAGGACUCUCCCUCAUUUGAGCCCAGCAUGUGCCAGAUAUUUAACCCUUUAACCUUUUUCUGACUGGAGAGGAAAUGGACAAAAUGACUCUAUUAAAUAGGUGAUUGGACAGCCAUGAUAAUGCACACUAAAUGUGAUGAAUAACUGCCAUUUUAAAUGGAUUGGAUGGAAAGAGAGUGAGAUUAUAUGAGGAUAGGUCUGGUGUUGUUUUAAAAGCUUUUGACAGUCUAGUAAUGACAAGAUUUAAAUGUUUUUUUUUUCUCUCUCUCUCAUAAUGUUAUGUUUUUACACUUCUUGCAAAUGAAUGAUAAAUUAAGUAUCUUUUAUAACUAGCAAAAGGCAUCCUUAAUUCUUUAAUGGCCAUAUGAUGUUUAUGGUUGUAAACCUCCAGUAUGGG
ensembl:lncRNA